GCGACGUCAAAGCGUUCAUUAAAGUCGAGUUGGCUUAGGGAUACGUUCGUUGGGUAGGGGAGCGUUCUGUAAGCCGUUGAAGGUGGCCUGUGAGGGUUGCUGGAGGUAUCAGAAGUGCGAAUGCUGACAUAAGUAACGAUAAAGCGGGUGAAAAGCCCGCUCGCCGGAAGACCAAGGGUUCCUGUCCAACGUUAAUCGGGGCAGGGUGAGUCGACCCCUAAGGCGAGGCCGAAAGGCGUAGUCGAUGGGAAACGGGUUAAUAUUCCCGUACUUGGUGUUACUGCGAAGGGGGGACGGAGAAGGCUAUGUUGGCCGGGCGACGGUUGUCCCGGUUUAAGCGUGUAGGUGUGUGUUCCAGGUAAAUCCGGUUCACUUUAACACUGAGGCGUGACGACGAGGCACUACGGUGCUGAAGCAACAAAUGCCCUGCUUCCAGGAAAAGCCUCUAAGCAUCAGGUAACAUCAAAUCGUACCCCAAACCGACACAGGUGGUCAGGUAGAGAAUACCAAGGCGCUUGAGAGAACUCGGGUGAAGGAACUAGGCAAAAUGGUGCCGUAACUUCGGGAGAAGGCACGCUGACACGUAGGUGAAGUGAUUUACUCAUGGAGCUGAAGUCAGUCGAAGAUACCAGCUGGCUGCAACUGUUUAUUAAAAACACAGCACUGUGCAAACACGAAAGUGGACGUAUACGGUGUGACGCCUGCCCGGUGCCGGAAGGUUAAUUGAUGGGGUCAGCGCAAGCGAAGCUCCUGAUCGAAGCCCCGGUAAACGGCGGCCGUAACUAUAACGGUCCUAAGGUAGCGAAAUUCCUUGUCGGGUAAGUUCCGACCUGCACGAAUGGCGUAAUGAUGGCCAGGCUGUCUCCACCCGAGACUCAGUGAAAUUGAACUCGCUGUGAAGAUGCAGUGUACCCGCGGCAAGACGGAAAGACCCCGUGAACCUUUACUAUAGCUUGACACUGAACAUUGAGCCUUGAUGUGUAG
rnacentral:rRNA from 1 species